rnacentral:tRNA from 2 species
GGGCUUGUGGUCUAGUUGGUUAUGACGUCGCCCUUACACGGCGGAGGUCACCGGUUCGAAUCCGGUCAGGCCCA